GUGAGGAAUAUUGGUCAAUGGGCGGGAGCCUGAACCAGCCAAGUCGCGUGAAGGAAGAAGGAUCUAUGGUUCGUAAACUUCUUUUGCAGGGGAAUAAAGUGCAGGACGUGUCCUGUUUUGUAUGUACCCUGAGAAUAAGGAUCGGCUAACUCCGUGCCAGCAGCCGCGGUAAUACGGAGGAUCCGAGCGUUAUCCGGAUUUAUUGGGUUUAAAUGGUGCGUAGGUGGUUUGAUAAGUCAGCGGUGAAAGUUUGCAGCUUAACUGUAAAAAUGCCGUUGAAACUGUCGGACUUGAGUGUAAAUGAGGUAGGCGGAAUGCGUGGUGUAGCGGUGAAAUGCAUAGAUAUCACGCAGAACUCCGAUUGCGAAGGCAGCUUACUAAGCUACAACUGACACUGAAGCACGAAAGCGUGGGGAUCAAACAGGAUUAGAAACCCCUGUAGUCC
rnacentral:rRNA from 1 species